GUGAAGAGGGGUAGGACACCAAAAUAUGUAAGUCCAAUUUUACCCUCACUACUUUCGACAAAUUACAACAAAUACUAUUCUCUCUCAUAGACAGAAAACCGUUCACAAACCAGAUUAUCAACUCAAUAAUGCAUAACUGAAUAUAGAGAAGAAACCGCUUCGGGUCCAAUCUUCAUCAUUCAUUUGCUUUCCCUACUACAUUAUUCUCUCUAAUAUUCUUUCUCCUUACUCUCUCAAUGUCAAAAUUAAAUUUGGUAGAAGAAAAUUGUUAUAGCCUUCUUUUGUUGUUUUUCCUCUUUCAUCUUUCAGUGUAAAUUUUUUUUAAAAAAAUUACAUAACCAAGAUGUCUCUCCUCUUUCUGCAUUUCUUUAUUUUUAUACUUCAAUUUUGAAUUUAGGAGUAUAAUUUUGGUUGGUUGAGGGAUUGAUUCUUGAAAUUUUGGGUUUGAUUUGUUAGUCCUGAUGUUUUUCUCGAUCUUUUAAAGUACAUUCAUGACAAAUUUAUUUGAUCAUUUGUUGUGCUUUUUUGUAUAUAUGAUUUGCAUUUUUUUUUUUUUCAGGUAGCGUACUUAAUAUUUGAAGGUGUUUUUCUACCAAGGCCUACAGCUCCCACAAAAGAAACUAUCUAGAUUUUGGUAGCACUAUUGCAGUGGAAAAGAAUUUGGUUUUAGUGGAAGUUUGGAAGAGUGGAAGAAUUGGGCAAUUUGGCUUCUUCUGUUCUUUAAUUGGAAACAUGGAGAAGUUUGGCUAUUGGAAGAAUUGAGAGUAUUUGGCUUUUCGGCGGUUCAACUUCUUCAUGGCUCACACUUUAAAAUUCAGGCUUUUAGCAAUGCAUUAGAUUUUGGCAAAUUUUGUGCAUCAGUGCAUGUGUGUGAUUUUCCGGCAUCUGAGGUUCCUAUAUUGGAGAAAAAAUGGUACUCUCAGUGACUUCAGCAAUUGAGACCUCUCGCUACAGGAAAGUUUGGUCAUGUCUACUUGGCAAGAGAGAAGAAUGGUACUCCAUCUUCAAGUUUUGUUCUUCGCCACUUCAAGAACUCUUUUAUUAAGUGUAUUUUGAAUUCUUGAUAUUUAACUUAUAUUGGCUUUUUUUUACCUACAAAUAUAUUAUACUCUAUAUUUAA